GAUGAACGCUGGCGGCGUGCCUAACACAUGCAAGUCGAACGAAAAGACGAGGAGCUUGCGCCUUUGACGUUAGCGGCGGGCGGGUGGGUCACGCGUGGAUACCCUACUUCUAUUUCGGGGAUCAUUACGGAAAACGGGAUAUAAUACCAUAUAAUAUAUUGAACCGCGGGGUUCAAUGGAAAAUGACGGCUUUGGUGUCUGUACUAGCUGGUUACGGGCCGGAUUAGCUAGUUGGUAAGGUAACGGCCUACCAAGGCGACGAUGCGUGGCCGAGCUGAGAGGGUGAUCGGCCACACUGGAACUGAGACACGGUCCAGACUCCUACGGGAGGCAGCAGUAGGGAAUGUUCGGCAAUGGGCGAAAGCCUGACGGAGCAACGCCGCGUGAGUGAUGAAGGCCUUCGGAUCGUAAAACUCUGUUAUUAGGGAAGAACAAAUGUGUAAGUAAAUAUGGACGUCUUGACGGUACCUAAUCAGAAAGCCACGGCUAACUACGUG
rnacentral:rRNA from 1 species